CCUACGGGUGGCUGCAGUGGGGAAUAUUGGACAAUGGGCGAAAGCCUGAUCCAGCCAUGCCGCGUGUGUGAAGAAGGCCUUCGGGUUGUAAAGCACUUUCAGUGGGGAAGAAAGCCUUGGGGCUAAUACCCUCGAGGAAGGACAUCACCCACAGAAGAAGCACCGGCUAACUCCGUGCCAGCAGCCGCGGUAAUACGGAGGGUGCGAGCGUUAAUCGGAAUUACUGGGCGUAAAGCGCGCGUAGGCGGUCUGAUAAGCCGGUUGUGAAAGCCCCGGGCUCAACCUGGGAACGGCAUCCGGAACUGUCAGGCUAGAGUGCAGGAGAGGAAGGUAGAAUUCCCGGUGUAGCGGUGAAAUGCGUAGAGAUCGGGAGGAAUACCAGUGGCGAAGGCGGCCUUCUGGACUGACACUGACGCUGAGGUGCGAAAGCGUGGGUAGCAAACAGGAUUAGAUACCCGUGUAGU
rnacentral:rRNA from 1 species